GCGUAGAAUCUGCCUUCAGGUUCGGGACAACCACUGGAAACGGUGGCUAAUACCGAAUGUGCAGCAAUGUGAAAAAUUUAUUGCCUGAAGAUGAGCUCGCGUCUGAUUAGCUAGUAGGUGUGGUAAGAGCGCACCUAGGCGACGAUCAGUAGCUGGUCUGAGAGGAUGAUCAGCCACACUGGGACUGAGACACGGCCCAGACUCCUACGGGAGGCAGCAGUGGGGAAUUUUCCGCAAUGGGCGAAAGCCUGACGGAGCAAUACCGCGUGAGGGAGGAAGGCUCUUGGGUUGUAAACCUCUUUUCUCAAGGAAGAAAAAAAUGACGGUACUUGAGGAAUAAGCAUCGGCUAACUCCGUGCCAGCAGCCGCGGUAAUACGGAGGAUGCAAGCGUUAUCCGGAAUGAUUGGGCGUAAAGCGUCCGCAGGUGGCUAUGUAAGUCUGCUGUUAAAGAGUCUGGCUCAACCAGAUAAAGGCAGUGGAAACUACAUGGCUAGAGUGCGUUCGGGGCAGAGGGAAUUCCUGGUGUAGCGGUGAAAUGCGUAGAGAUCAGGAAGAACACCGGUGGCGAAAGCGCUCUGCUAGGCCGCAACUGACACUGAGGGACGAAAGCUAGGGGAGCGAAAGGGAUUAGAUACCCCCUGUAGUC
rnacentral:rRNA from 1 species